GGGGGACAACGUUUCGAAAGGAACGCUAAUACCGCAUACGUCCUACGGGAGAAAGUGGGGGAUCUUCGGACCUCACGCUAUCAGAUGAGCCUAGGUCGGAUUAGCUAGUUGGUGAGGUAAAGGCUCACCAAGGCGACGAUCCGUAACUGGUCUGAGAGGAUGAUCAGUCACACUGGAACUGAGACACGGUCCAGACUCCUACGGGAGGCAGCAGUGGGGAAUAUUGGACAAUGGGCGAAAGCCUGAUCCAGCCAUGCCGCGUGUGUGAAGAAGGUCUUCGGAUUGUAAAGCACUUUAAGUUGGGAGGAAGGGCAGUAAGUUAAUACCUUGCUGUUUUGACGUUACCAACAGAAUAAGCACCGGCUAACUUCGUGCCAGCAGCCGCGGUAAUACGAAGGGUGCAAGCGUUAAUCGGAAUUACUGGGCGUAAAGCGCGCGUAGGUGGUUCGUUAAGUUGGAUGUGAAAGCCCCGGGCUCAACCUGGGAACUGCAUCCAAAACUGGCGAGCUAGAGUAUGGCAGAGGGUGGUGGAAUUUCCUGUGUAGCGGUGAAAUGCGUAGAUAUA
rnacentral:rRNA from 2 species